UAUGCUGUAGAAAGCAGAUCAGCAUGCUUUAGUUAUUUCCUUACAGAAAACUUUCUUUGUUACAGCAGAAAUCUGUGAUUUCCAAUCAGUACUAAGCCAGUGGUUAUAGAGGUUGAAGAAGCACAAGACAAAACCUACGUGUAUUCCAGACCCUACUGACAGACUCCAUAGAAAUCCUCAUUUCCUGUUCUUUGUUGUUUCUCAUUAUUACCAAUGACAAUAUUGCUAAUUACAGGCUACUGUGGUGAUUCUUGAGUGACAGCUCUUAUCCUUUUGGCCAGGUAUGAUGGAGAUACUCCAUGCUACUGCCCUACACCUCUGCUGGCUAGCUGGAUGCUUACAUGUCUCGAAAUGAAUGAGCAUCAAAUUCUACUACAGCUGGUCCAGAACUGUGGAGCCAGCAUAUUUACAUCGUGCGAACAAAUCAAAUGAUGUUCAAAGGCACACGUAGCACUCAAAGGCACACAGUGUGUAAUCUUCAUUCCCACAGUGGCAUGGGCACGGAGACUUAAUGAUCCACACCUUAAGAGCUUCUAGCUGACGGAUGGAUGCAAAUAAGAUAGGCUGGAGAGAGGAGGAGAACUGAAUUAUUCCAACCCAGUUCCUGUAGUCAUCACUAAAUAUAGUGCUUGUACUGAUGCAGCAUUUCUGGGGUGGUUAUGAAAUGUCUGGCAUGCUCUGAUGUUUAACAGUCUUUACAUGUGUAUAUUAAUAGAUGCUGUAGCUGAGACUUAGACAAAAGACGAGAGCUAAGGAAGCAUGCUGCAGUGCUGUAAGGCAGUGAGGCACUGGCCAGCUGCUUUGCUGUGCAUCACUAGCCUGGAUCUUGAGGCUUACCACUGAUAAACCACCUGUUUUGAUAAUACUCUCUUUCUACUUCUAAAGUGGGGGAAUUUGUCACAGGCCAGAUUUAGCAGCUGUGGUCUCAGGGGCAUCUGAUAAUUACAGAAGUGCUGUUCCACACGUCUAAUGAAGCAAUGGAGGCCUUAGUGGGUUUGAGCUCGGAAGAGAGAUUGCACUAUGCGUGUUUCUGUGUUUCCUUUAAUUUGCAAUCUCAUUUUUUCUCAAAUUAAAUUUAUGCAAGCAUCACAGUGGGGAUUAACUAUUCAUAUAAUUGAGAGUAGAAACAGAGAUGAUUAUACAGUGCCCAGGAUUCAUGCAAUUGGACAUUAGACA
rnacentral:lncRNA from 1 species